UACGUAGGGUGCGAGCGUUAAUCGGAAUUACUGGGCGUAAAGCGUGCGCAGGCGGUUAUGCAAGACAGAAGUGAAAUCCCCGGGCUCAACCUGGGAACUGCAUUUGUGACUGCAUGGCUGGAGUGCGGCAGAGGGGGAUGGAAUUCCGCGUGUAGCAGUGAAAUGCGUAGAUAUGCGGAGGAACACCGAUGGCGAAGGCAAUCCCCUGGGCCUGCACUGACGCUCAUGCACGAAAGCGUGGGGAGCAAACAGG
rnacentral:rRNA from 1 species